AACGAACGCUGGCGGCAUGCCUAACACAUGCAAGUCGAACGAGACCUUCGGGUCUAGUGGCGCACGGCUGCGUAACGCGUGGGAACCUGCCCUUAGGUUCCGAAUCACUCCCCGAAAGGGGUGCUAAUACCGGAUAAUCUCUUCGCACCAAAGAUUUAUCGCUUUUGGAUGGGCGCGCGUUGGAUUAGCUAGUUGGUAGGGUAAAAGCCUGCCAAGGCGACGAUCCAUAGCUGGUCUGAGAGGAUGAUAAGCCACACUGGGACUGAGACACGGCCCAGAAUCCUACGGAAGGCAGCAGUAGGGAGUAUUAGACAAUGGGCGAAAGCCUGAUCAAGCAAUGCCGCGUGAGAGAUGAAGGCCUUAGGGUUGUAAAGCUCUUUUACCCGGGAUGAUAAUGACAGUACCGGGAGAAUAAGCACCGGCUAACUCCGUG
rnacentral:rRNA from 1 species